rfam:Salmo salar isolate Sally breed double haploid chromosome ssa03, whole genome shotgun sequence.
UGGCUCAGUUGGAAGAGCAUGGUGUUUGCAAUGCCAGCAUGGUGUGCAACGCCAGGGUUGUGGGUUCGAUUCCCAC